AAGACUGCACACACGCAAUAGAUAGCGAGAUAUGAGACUUUUGGCUAGCUAACCUUGCUAAAAAAAGUGCUAGUCAAGAUGUUUAACUUUUUCGCGUUGAGGCUCUGGAUACCAAUUUGUACCAUUUAGCUGCCUGCAGAGUCAUAAAGAGAAAGAGUUGCGUCAAUUGCCUUUACGUUCAUGGUACUGUACUGUACUGUACUGUAGGCUAGUUAGAACUAGAGCGAGCUAGCAUCAGUUUCAAACACAGCAGCAUCGUCGUUGAGGAACAGUUGUACUGUACUGUAUGAUGGAGUUGUGCCAAGUCUGGCAUUGCUACUGAUGUUGAUGUGAGCUGAAAAGGAGGCCCAGUGCCUUGGAGGUGGAUGUCAGACCCACUGGACGAAGGAGCGCUGGAUGGGAGACCACUAGUUGAAGGAGCGCUGGAUGGGAGACCACUAGAUGAGAGAUUUCUGGAUGAGGGAAAAUGUGAUGGAGUGGCCUGUCUUAUAUUUAAACCACAGUAUUUUUGUCAUUACUAUGCUUUUAACCCUUGUGUUAUCUUCGGGUCAUUCUGACCCAUCAGUCAUUGUGACCCACCGUCGUAUUGCGACAGAUUUACCGCAUACAAAGACAAAGUGAAGCAUUUUCUUUUAACCGUUGGGCUGUCUCAGACCCCCCACAUUGCAAAGGUUAAAAGAAAAUUAUUUUAAUUUGUUUUUGUAUUGGGUAAAAUUGGGUAAACACAACGAUGGUUCGUUAUGAACCUUUGGGUCAUGUGACCCGAAGGCAGCACGAGGGUUAAUUGUGGUCGUUAUUGAGUUUGCUCCUGUUGACUUUAGCAAACCACCUCUUUCUCCUCUCACUAUCAGCUGGGAAGCCGUAGCCUACAUCACGACUCCCUAUUUGGAGCAUGCAAUACAUCCCCAUGCAUCACACCCAACCAUUAUGAAAUCCAAGAUGCUAGGUGCAAGACCAAGACAGCGCGGUGUAGACAAAAGCGUUACCUUUAUUGUGUCACCCUUUACACUCUUUUCAUAGCAGAGACUAAAAUAACAUGUGUACAUAUUUGAAUAGUCAUGUUGACUAUCAUGUAGUUGUACUGUAGCCUUUCACAACCAAGUCCUUGAGGUUUAAUCAUUGUGCACUACACAUGCAUAAAAUGAUACUAUAUAGUAGGGAAAGAUUAAAUAAAGAUGCAGAACAAAC